rnacentral:tRNA from 1 species
GAGGGUAUAGCUCAAGUGAGAGUGCAUGCCUGGCGAGCAUGAGGUCCUAGGUUUAAUCCCUAGUACCUCCA